UUCCUGUCCCCAAUUCAGCAUCACCUAGCUCUCUCCUAAUGUGGGUUAAUUUUCCAUCAGCUCCUAGAAAGAGUGUAUUUCCAGACUCUCUGGGGACAGACAGAGGAGUUUCAAACAGGAUAAAGCAAGCUUCGAUGGAGAAUAUUUGGAGCCUGUCAUGGCAUCAGGCUGCUCCGACCACAUUUCUGCCAGAGGGGGGGAAAUGUGUUUGCUUGGAACAGGGUCACUGUGAAAAUCAAAUGAGAUUGCACAGGGAAAAAUCUCUUCAGACUGGAGCUCCAUGCAAUGGUCAUCAUCUGUUGAUGUUGCUCUCUGGCCUCUACAAAGGAUGAGCCAGUGAUGUGUACAACGUUAAAAGAAAUAUUUGUGGAAUGAAAUGAGUGGAUGUUGUGUAAACAUUCAUUGUGCAUACAGAUUCUCACUCUGUUGCCAGGCUGGAGUGCAAUGGCGCGAUCUCAGCUCACUGUACCCUCUGCCUCCCAGGUUCAAGCGAUUCUCCUGCCUCAGCCUCCCACGUAGCUGUGACGACAGGCCCAGGAAGGAGGCCGGAGUAGUAUGGAUGGCAUCUGAGCUGGCAGGACGGGUGAGCAGGCGGGCAGGGCUGCAGACUUUGCUCCUUUCGAGAGAGAUCCGUAGGCAGCUCCCUGGCUCCACGCCUGCUGGAGCCUUUGUGCUGGCAUUUGGCCCAUUCAGGAAGUCUAGGCUGGGAGUGGCCUUGGAAGACAGCAUUGCCUCAAACGGACUCACGCCAGCCAGCACUGACUAGCCACCUGCUCUGUGCCCAGCUCUGUGCUGGGAGCUUCGUAGGUUACCUCACCAAAAUGAAUCCUCUCAACAGCAGUGAAACGUAGGCAAGAGACCCAUUCAUUUGUUCAUUCACUCAUUCAGACCUUCUUUACACCACGCUUUGCAGAGCACCACUUCAUUCCAGAGAAUACUGCCUCAGGCUUUACGACAGGCCAGGUAUCAUACCAGGCACUUGUGUUCUUAUUUCAAAAGGUACAAAUCAGAGUAUGACACAGAGAGAAAGACUUUGAGGUCAAUGGAGAAAUUCAAUCAGAGGAGACCUGGGGAAGUUUGGAAAGGAGGUGAGAUCUGGGCUAGGCCCUGCAGUAGCAGAGUUUGGUGGGAAAAGGCCUUCAGGCAGGGGUAGCAGGCCAGGCAGCUGGAUAAAGAAGAGUGUGUUUGGGAACCACAUGCUGACUGACCCUCUGGAACAGGGUUUCCCCACAGGACAGUGGGAAGAGCAGUGGUUAGUUAGGAAGGAGGCUGGGAAUGUUGGUUUCCUAUCUAGUCUCUGUGAGUGGCUCCCAAGGCCAGCCACCAACCUCUCUGACCCUGUUUGCCAUCCUGUGAAUCAGGUUUAAUGACCCUCAUCCUGCCUGUGUUAUAGGGAGGUUUUGAAGGUCAAAGAGACCCCAGAGACUUUACUAUGCAGAGAGAGAGGUCACUUGCUCCUGGUUUUGCUUCUGUCCCAGAGGUGUGUGGGCCCCAGUGGUUUCUUCAAAGCUGGCCUCCAGCCACAUCCUAUGAGCCCCACGACCCCUACCCCAGGUGCUCCUGAAGGUCAAGAGUGUGUCCUGCUCAUUUGCAUCCUGUGCAUGGGGUAGGCGGUCAGAGCCCAAGUCAAGGAGUCAGCCUGACGGCAGCCCGAUCCCCAUUCAUGUGUAUAGUUCCCCGGUGGCCCCUGGCCAAUCACUUUCAUCUCUGAGCCUCUGUGUCCUCAUAAUGAGGCUGUGGUGAGCUGUAAACAGCAGGUGAUACGGAGCUUGGAUCCAGCCCCUGUGAGGGACUGCCGGGACUGCUCUAACCAGGGACCUCACCGCCCUUCCCAGGAUAUCCUGGAGCAGGAAUGCUCCUGCUGGUCCAAUUCCCAAAUGACAAUCAAUUACUCAUUCCAUUCACUCGCUCACUUGUCCACUCGCUCCGCUCACUUGCUCUUCAUCAAAUGCUUACUGACUGCCUUCCAGGCACCCAGCAUAGCACUGAGUGCUUUGUUGCUGCAGUCUAAGACAAGGUUUUGAACCUCAAGAGAGAACUUACAAUUGAAUUAAAAUUGGAAGGCAACAUGUAAUUAUGUGCCCCAUAGAUGGGGCAGAUGGCAGUUGAUGGAGUGAAGAGGGAGAAAAAGACACAGAAAUUGUUAGGUUGGAGUUGGGUAGGGGUAUGUGUCAAGGAAGAUCUCUCAGAGGGUGUGGACUCCAGCAGAGGCUGUGGAACUCAGGUGGGUGGGGAGUGGCAGGUGGGCAUUCCAGGUGAGGGAACUACCUGAGCAAAGGUAUAGAGGGAGGCAGGCGUGUGGCCAUUGAACCUGCUUAGCUGGAAGGAAUGGGUGGAACCUGGUUGUACAGGUGGCCAGGGCUGGGUGGCAGAAGGCCAGGAGACUGAGCAUUUCCUGCAGACUGGAUUUCAGGGUGUUGACGGGGGAGGCUGCGACAUCAGCUAACUCAGAGGCUCUGAGGUAACCAGGUGGGAGGGUCAGUGAUGGGCUCGCCUCCCUGCCCAGAAGGCCUCCUGCCCCUUUAGAUAGGACAUAGGGUGGGAAAGGCAGAGCCCCUGCCUCCAAUUCACUGUGUAGGACAACACUCAAGUAGGUCAUUGUGUUUCUCAGGGUCUUGGUUUCUAAACAUGGAAAACUGGAGUGACUGGACCAGAUAGUCUCAAUUGCCUUUCCAGCUCUGGGACUCUAGAAUCUUCUUACUGUCAAUUCUGCGUCUGCUGUAGUGGACCUACCCAUCCCUGCUUCUCAGCAAUCACCCUCCCCGCCAGCAGCGUGGUUAGCCUGUGAGCUCAUGUUUGCUUCACGUGAUACUUCUCCUCCAACCUGGCUCUGGAAGAUUCCUGACCCUGGAGAGACACACUGCACAGACAAUCAGAUAAAUCCACUGGCGACUUUGAACCAAGAGAUCCAGGCCCUGGGUUUAUUAGAUAGUGUUAGCCCUUAGAUACAAUGUUAUAAGAAAAAAAAAGACUAGUGUUUGCUGAGCUUUAUUUCAUUCUCACAUCAACCCUGCAAAGUAAGCUCUGUUUGUAUACCCAUUUUAUAGAUGAGGAAACCAAGUUUAGUGACGAACCAUGUUUGUCAGAUUAUGGCAUGCAACUGGUUAUGAAAACAAAAAUAUUUAGACUUUAGUAUAUUUUAGUAUAGUUUAGUAUAUAUUAAUACACAUGGUAUAGUUUAGUAUAGCACAUAUUCUGUAUACUAAAAAUAUACUAAAAGCUACAUAUUUCCAUUUUUAGUGUAUAUAAUAUAGUAUAUGCUAAAAUAAUUAUAAUAUAUCUUUAGAUAAACCUAUAUUAUUUUGUUUAUGUAAAUAUUAUAUACUAUGGACUGAAAUUCCAAUAGAAAAUUCCAAAUAAGUUCUACUAACUUGGAAACAAAAUGUUUCUUGGAACUGACACAGUAGAUAAAGAACUUAAGGAGUGAAGUGAACAUGGGUUUUAUAUAUUGGGAAGGAUUUUCCCUGAUAUCUUUGGAGCUUGUAUCUGCUGUUAGCAACUGUUGUUUGAAGUUUCCAGCAUGGGCCUCUUCUCAAUAACAUGGACACACUGGAUCUGUUGGUGGGGAAGAGGGACGCGGAUGUAGUUUGUCUACAUUGCUGCUUUGGGCUGCAAUGCUACUCCACUGGCUCACGCAGUAACCAAGUCCCAUAGACAGAAUAUGACCUGGAUCUUCAUCACUUGACUCUCCUGCCUCCCCCAGAGGUAGCUGAGAGCUGUACCAGAUCUAAGCCCUGUACAUUAAAAUCCUAGGAGGGCUGAAGUUCUGGAAAAGCAAGAAGGAAAAACCUACAGACAAUGUGGGUCUGCAGAGAGGGUGUUGGAGCAUGUAAGAGAGAAGCAGAGCAGCACCCCUGAGCCCCAGAGACAUGGAGAGGAGGCUUUGGCUCUCUGAAAGCCCGGUGUACUUUCUGCUGCCUCAGUUGUGAGAUUGCUUUGAAGCUUGAUAGCCAGCUCCCUUUUAUGGAAACUUUUCUGAGUAAAAGGUCAUUUCUAGCAACCAGACAGUCCCUGAGGAAGACCUCAGUGUUAUGAUGGUGUCUAUGUCUUACUAAUUAAGAUCCUGGAAUAUGCAUUCUACUCCAUACAUUUGACUGUACAAGAAAUGUGACAUUAUUUUAUUUCCUUGAGGUCUAAUUAAAUCUGACCUUGACUCCACAUUCUGGCUGAAGUAGCUGAAAAAUUGAUUUCCGUUGUGAGUGAGAUGGGAUGAGGGGGACCCCUUCUCUUUUUUUUUUUUUUUUUUUUUGAG